rnacentral:rRNA from 1 species
UGGGGAAUUUUGGACAAUGGGGGCAACCCUGAUCCAGCAAUGCCGCGUGUGUGAAGAAGGCCUUCGGGUUGUAAAGCACUUUUGUCCGGAAAGAAAUCGCACUUACUAAUAUUAGGUGUGGAUGACGGUACCGGAAGAAUAAGGACCGGCUAACUACGUGCCAGCAGCCGCGGUAAUACGUAGGGUCCAAGCGUUAAUCGGAAUUACUGGGCGUAAAGCGUGCGCAGGCGGUUGUGCAAGACCGAUGUGAAAUCCCCGGGCUUAACCUGGGAAUUGCAUUGGUGACUGCACGGCUAGAGUGUGUCAGAGGGGGGUAGAAUUCCACGUGUAGCAGUGAAAUGCGUAGAGAUGUGGAGGAAUACCGAUGGCGAAGGCAGCCCCCUGGGAUAACACUGACGCUCAUGCACGAAAGCGUGGGGAGCAAACGG